UCUGACACCCCACUGAUUGCCAGGGUUGAUUCGGCUAUCUGGCUGGCCAGGUGUCAGG
rnacentral:sRNA from 1 species